rnacentral:rRNA from 1 species
GAUGAACGCUGGCGGCGUGCCUAAUACAUGCAAGUCGAGCGACCGGACGAGAAGCUCGCUUCCCUGAUGUUAGCGGCGGACGGGCGAGUAACACGUGGAUAACAUACUUAUAAGACUGGGAUAACUUCGGGAAACCGGAGCUACUACUGGAUAAUAUUUUGUACCGCAUGGUUCAAAAGUGCAUGACGGCUUUGCCGUUUCUAAUAGAUGGUUCCGCGCUGCAUUAGCUAGUUGGUAAGGUAACGGCUUACCAAGGCAACGAUGCAUAGCCGACCUGAGAGGGUGAUCAGCCACACUGGAACUGAGACACGGUCCAGACUCCUACGGGAGGCAGCAGUAGGGAAUCUUCCACAAUGGGCGAAAGCCUGACGGAGCAACGCCGCGUGGGUGAUGAAGGUCUUCGGGUCGUAAAACUCUGUUGUUAGGAAAGAAAAUAUGUAUAAGAAUCUGUGCACGUCUUGACGGUACCUAAACAGUAAGCCACGGCUAACUACGUG